AAUAGAUACCCAGGUAGUCCACGCCGUAAACGAUGAGUGCUAAGUGUUAGGGGGGUUCCACCCCUUAGUGCUGCAGCUAACGCAUUAAGCACUCCGCCUGGGGAGUACGGUCGCAAGACUGAAACUCAAAGGAAUUGACGGGGGCCCGCACAAGCGGUGGAGCAUGUGGUUUAAUUCGAAGCAACGCGAAGAACCUUACCAGGUCUUGACAUCCCGCUGACCGCCAUGGAGACAUGGCCUUCCCUUCGGGGACAGCGGUGACAGGUGGUGCAUGGUUGUCGUCAGCUCGUGUCGUGAGAUGUUGGGUUAAGUCCCGCAACGAGCGCAACCCUUGUCCUUAGUUGCCAUCAUUCAGUUGGGCACUCUAAGGAGACUGCCGUACAAAUACGGAGGAAGGUGGGGAUGACGUCAAAUCAUCAUGCCCCUUAUGACCUGGGCUACACACGUGCUACAAUGGGUGGUACAAAAGGGCGGCGAACCCGCGAGGGGGAGCGAAUCCCAAAAAGCCACUCUCAGUUCGGAUUGCAGGCUGCAACUCCG
rnacentral:rRNA from 1 species